rnacentral:lncRNA from 1 species
CAAAACAUGAGCCACUGAGAUGCAAACAAAGCAAGUGUGUUAACAGAUCAUUCUCUGGGGUUGGUCAGAGCAGCCCAAGAUAAACCUGGAAAUGCUGUUGUUUAUUUCCUUCUUUAUCAUACUUCGACAGGUGGGAACUGCUAUGGUUUGAAUGUGUUUCCCAAAAGCUCAUGUGUUGGAAAUUUAAUUCACAAUGCAACAGUGUUUUGGACGUAGGUAUCUGUGUUAAAACCAAAUGGUUAUGUCUAGUAAGCUAUCUGAAUUAUGAAAUAUGCAUAAAUAUCCACACUUUGGCUGGAGAUUAAAUUUGGAAAUAUCCCAUGGUAACUGAAAUCCUGGCUAUGUACAAAGUCCCAGAGUCUGAAAUGAGAAAAGAAGAAGAAAGCAAAAGGUAUUCACACUGACAGCUCUGUUGUCAAAUGUAACUCUGUUAUUACAGCUCCUUGGCUGAGUAUAGAGGUGUUCAUGUUAACUGGAAAAAAAAUAACAUGUUAACUGGAAAAAAUAAGUAUGGUGUAUCAGACUAGCCAGUGCUAUCACGGAAAUCUUUGUCAUGUUGGUUGAGAAUGAAGUUAUUCUUACUUC